CUAUGCGCCUUGCCACGCCCGCUCAAGAAACUCAAAGGAAUUGGACGGGGCCCGCACAAGCGGUGGAGCAUGUGGUUCAAUUCGACGCAACGCGAAGAACCUUACCUGGGCUAGACAACAGUGGACCGUCCUAGAGAUAGGAUUUUCCCUUCGGGGACCGCUGGUUCAGGUGCUGCAUGGCUGUCGUCAGCUCGUGCCGUGAGGUGUUGGGUUAACGUCCCGCAACGAGCGCAACCCUCGUACUUAGUUGCCACCAUUCAGUUGGCACUCUAGGUAGACUGCCGGCGUUAAGCCGGAGGAAGGUGGGGACGACGUCAAGUCAUCAUGGCCCUUAUGCCCAGGGCCACACACGUGCUACAAUGGGCGGCACAAAGGGUCGCGAACCCGCGAGGGGGAGCCAAUCCCAAAAAGCCGUUCUCAGUUCGGAUUGGAGUCUGCAACUCGACUCCAUGAAGUUGGAAUCGCUAGUAAUCGCGGAUCAGCACGCCGCGGUGAAUACGUUCCCGGGCCUU
rnacentral:rRNA from 1 species